rnacentral:rRNA from 1 species
AUGGAGCGGGUGCUCUGCUUCGAAUAUAUGCAUGGCGGAAGCCUUGAUAAACACAUUGAAGAUGAAGCUUGCGGGCUUGAGUGGCCCACAUGUUACAAGAUUAUUAAAGGGACUUGUGAGGGAAUAAAUUACCUUCACAACUCCCAGGAAAGGCAUAUUUACCAUCUGAACUUAAAGCCUGGUAAUAUUUUGCUGGAUAAAAGUAUGACCCCCAAGAUUGCAGAUCUUGGUUUGUCAAGACUUGUUGAUUCAAUAGAAACAGAUGAACCAGAUAUGCGCCAGGGAACACUUUGGGACGGUGGCGUGCCGGAAGGGCUGUCUUGCGAGUUGACCGGAGUGGGAGUACACCAGAGAGGCUUCUGA